UAGAUUCAGAGUAAAAGUUGU
rnacentral:siRNA from 1 species